rnacentral:rRNA from 1 species
GACGAACGCUGGCGGCGUGCUUAACACAUGCAAGUCGAACGAUGAAGCCUAGCUUGCUAGGUGGAUUAGUGGCGAACGGGUGAGUAAUACGUGAGUAACCUACCUUUAACUCUGGGAUAAGCCUGGGAAACUGGGUCUAAUACCGGAUACGACCAAUCUCCGCAUGGGGUGUUGGUGGAAAGCGUUAUGUAGUGGUUAUAGAUGGGCUCACGGCCUAUCAGCUUGUUGGUGAGGUAACGGCUCACCAAGGCGACGACGGGUAGCCGGCCUGAGAGGGUGACCGGCCACACUGGGACUGAGACACGGCCCAGACUCCUACGGGAGGCAGCAGUGGGGAAUAUUGCACAAUGGGCGCAAGCCUGAUGCAGCGACGCCGCGUGAGGGAUGACGGCCUUCGGGUUGUAAACCUCUGUUAGCAGGGAAGAAGAGAAAUUGACGGUACCUGCAGAGAAAGCGCCGGCUAACUACGUGCCAGCAGCCGCGGUAAUACGUAGGGCGCGAGCGUUGUCCGGAAUUAUUGGGCGUAAAGAGCUUGUAGGCGGUUUGUCGCGUCUGCUGUGAAAGGCCGGGGCUUAACCCCGUGUAUUGCAGUGGGUACGGGCAGACUAGAGUGCAGUAGGGGAGACUGGAGUUCCUGGUGUAGCGGUGGAAUGCGCAGAUAUCAGGAGGAACACCGAUGGCGAAGGCAGGUCUCUGGGCUGUAACUGACGCUGAGAAGCGAAAGCAUGGGGAGCGAACAGG